rnacentral:lncRNA from 1 species
UGUCAAGUGAACAGCAAGAACCUGUUCAGAGGAAGUGUCGCUGGUCUGCUCCCCUGCCAGGUUGUCCUUGAAAUCUUCAGAUGGCUACCUGCCAGGGUGCACAUGAGGAUGACACCUGCGGUGGCACAUUCUCUCUCUAAAACUGCGCUGGCAGACCAUGGAUUCGCCAUGGACAGUGGAGUCUCCUGAAACCUGAGUAUCCACUGCUGCAUCUUGGAGGCAAUACUCUAGCCUUCACGAGCACCCUUCUACUCCAGUCAGGCUGAAGUCUCCCUCGCUGUCACCGCCACAACUGUAGGAGGUAAAGGCAAUGGAGAACAAAGGAAAAGAGGAAGUUGCUUGCCAAAAGACUUGGAGAAGUAAUAACAUUUCCAAAUAAGGAAAGGGCAUAAGCUGUGAGCUGGGACAUGCUUGAGCACGUCGAGACCAAAUAUCUUGGUUAACGUACAAGGACACAGAAGGUACUUAUUUCCUUAUAUCUAACAACUACAUAAGAUAUGGUUUAAAAAAGAGUUACUAACACAAAGCAAAGAGGCUUAAAAAAAGUUAAUUAAAAAUAUUAUUUCUAACACUUGUGAUUUAUUAUUUAAUAAAAACUUUAAAGAGAAACUUUUUUACUUUCCACAACCUAGAAGGUGGAGGUUGCUGUGAGCCAAGAUGGCACCACUACACUCCAGUCUGGGUGACAGAGGG